rnacentral:rRNA from 1 species
AUUGAACGCUGGCGGCAGGCCUAACACAUGCAAGUCGAGCGGAAGAAGGGUGCUUGCUCCUGGAUUCAGCGGCGGACGGGUGAGUAAUGCCUAGGAAUCUGCCUGGUAGUGGGGGAUAACGUCCGGAAACGGGCGCUAAUACCGCAUACGCCCUGAGGGAGAAAGUGGGGGAUCUUCGGACCUCACGCUAUCAGAUGAGCAGAGGUCGGAUUAGCUAGUUGGUGGGGUAAAGGCCUACCAAGGCGACGAUCCGUAACUGGUCUGAGAGGAUGAUCAGUCACACUGGAACUGAGACACGGUCCAGACUCCUACGGGAGGCAGCAGUGGGGAAUAUUGGACAAUGGGCGAAAGCCUGAUCCAGCCAUGCCGCGUGUGUGAAGAAGGUCUUCGGAUUGUAAAGCACUUUUAGUUGGGGAGAAAAGCAGUAAGUUAAUACCUUGCUGUUUUGACGUUACCAACAGAAUAAGCACCGGCUAACUUCGUG